GCCUGGCUGGCUCAGUGGGUAGAGUGUGUGACUCUUGAUCUUGCGGUUGUGAGUUCGAGCCCCAUGUUAGGUA
rnacentral:tRNA from 1 species